rnacentral:misc_RNA from 1 species
GAUGAAGAACGCAGCGAAAUGCGAUAAGUAAUGUGAAUUGCAGAAUUCAGUGAAUCAUCGAAUCUUUAAACGCACAUUGCGCCCAUUAGUAUUCUAGUGGGCAUGCCUGUUCGAGCGUCAUUUCAACCCUUAAGCCUAGCUUAGUAUUGGGAAUCGACUUUACUGUCGUUCCUCAAAUUCAACGGCGGAUUUAUAGCAAUCUCUGAACGUAGUAAUUUUUUUCCUCGUUUUUGAAAUACUAUAAACCUCAGCCGCUAAACCCCCAAUUUUUCUAUGGUUGACCUCGGAUCAGGUAGGAAUACCCGCUGAACUUAAGCAUAUCAAUAAGCGGAGGA